AGAGUUUGAUCCUGGCUCAGGAUGAACGCUAGCUACAGGCUUAACACAUGCAAGUCGAGGGGCAGCAUCAUCAAAGCUUGCUUUGAUGGAUGGCGACCGGCGCACGGGUGAGUAACACGUAUCCAACCUGCCGACAACACUGGGAUAGCCUUUCGAAAGAAAGAUUAAUACCGGAUGGCAUAGUUUUCCCGCAUGGGAUAAUUGUUAAAGAAUUUCGGUUGUCGAUGGGGAUGCGUUCCAUUAGGCAGUUGGCGGGGUAACGGCCCACCAAACCAACGAUGGAUAGGGGUUCUGAGAGGAAGGUCCCCCACAUUGGAACUGAGACACGGUCCAAACUCCUACGGGAGGCAGCAGUGAGGAAUAUUGGUCAAUGGACGAGAGUCUGAACCAGCCAAGUAGCGUGAAGGAUGACUGCCCUAUGGGUUGUAAACUUCUUUUAUACGGGAAUAAAGUUAGCCACGUGUGGCUUUUUGUAUGUACCGUAUGAAUAAGGAUCGGCUAACUCCGUGCCAGCAGCCGCGGUAAUACGGAGGAUCCGAGCGUUAUCCGGAUUUAUUGGGUUUAAAGGGAGCGUAGGCGGGUUGUUAAGUCAGUUGUGAAAGUUUGCGGCUCAACCGUAAAAUUGCAGUUGAUACUGGCGACCUUGAGUGCAACAGAGGUAGGCGGAAUUCGUGGUGUAGCGGUGAAAUGCUUAGAUAUCACGAAGAACUCCGAUUGCGAAGGCAGCUUACUGGAUUGUAACUGACGCUGAUGCUCGAAAGUGUGGGUAUCAAACAGGAUUAGAUACCCUGGUAGUCCACACAGUAAACGAUGAAUACUCGCUGUUGGCGAUAUACAGUCAGCGGCCAAGCGAAAGCAUUAAGUAUUCCACCUGGGGAGUACGCCGGCAACGGUGAAACUCAAAGGAAUUGACGGGGGCCCGCACAAGCGGAGGAACAUGUGGUUUAAUUCGAUGAUACGCGAGGAACCUUACCCGGGCUUAAAUUGCAACUGACUGAACCGGAAACGGUUCUUUCUUCGGACAGUUGUGAAGGUGCUGCAUGGUUGUCGUCAGCUCGUGCCGUGAGGUGUCGGCUUAAGUGCCAUAACGAGCGCAACCCUUAUCGAUAGUUACUAGCAGGUCAUGCUGAGGACUCUAUUGAGACUGCCGUCGUAAGAUGUGAGGAAGGUGGGGAUGACGUCAAAUCAGCACGGCCCUUACGUCCGGGGCUACACACGUGUUACAAUGGGGGGUACAGAAGGCAGCUACACGGCGACGUGGUGCUAAUCCCGAAAGCCUCUCUCAGUUCGGAUUGGAGUCUGCAACCCGACUCCAUGAAGCUGGAUUCGCUAGUAAUCGCGCAUCAGCCACGGCGCGGUGAAUACGUUCCCGGGCCUUGCACACACCGCCCGUCA
rnacentral:rRNA from 1 species